GACGAACGCUGGCGGCGUGCUUAACACAUGCAAGUCGAACGGAAAGGCCCUGCUUUUGUGGGGUGCUCGAGUGGCGAACGGGUGAGUAACACGUGAGUAACCUGCCCUUGACUUGGGGAUAACUUCAGGAAACUGGGGCUAAUACCGGAUAGGAGCUCCUGCUGCAUGGUGGGGGUUGGAAGGUUUCGGCGGUUGGGGAUGGACUCGCGGCUUAUCAGCUUGUUGGUGGGGUAGUGGCUUACCAAGGCUUUGACGGGUAGCCGGCCUGAGAGGGUGACCGGCCAAAUUGGGACUGGGAUCACGCCCAGACUCCUAAGGGAGGCAGCAGUGGGGAAUAUUGCAAAAUGGGCGGAAGCCUGAUGCAGCAAAGCCGCGUGCGGGAUGACGGCCUUCGGGUUGUAAACCGCUUUCGCAUGUGACGAAGAGUGAGUGACGGUAAUGGGUAAAGAAGCAACGGCUAACUACGUG
rnacentral:rRNA from 1 species